rnacentral:lncRNA from 1 species
GGAUAUUUUCGUUCCGUUCCGUUUCUCGAUACCGUUCCGUUCCUCGAUUCCCCGUUCCUGGUUUUAAAGAUAGCCGAUCAAAAACAGGUGAAGUCGCGAGGGAAACUCCCUCGGGAAAGCCCCUUUGGAUUUUGGAAAUUCCCUCUGGAAAAUCUCUUUGGUUUCGUUUUUUCCACAACGACAGUAAAGCCUGUUACUGCAUGCUACUUGUUUGCUUAAACCGGGUGAUGCAGUAGAGAUCAUCAUAUCGUCACAUAAAUUUGGUUCAAAUAAGAAAAUAACUAGCAGAUUAAUACAGCAAGUGAGUAACAUUUUCAUUUCAUUGCUCUAUAAUGUUAAUACAUUUCUUAAAGGUUCAUUCACAGGCGGCCCAAUCUCUGAACGUCUUAUACAUUUUGAAUAUUUAAUCUUUAUAAUAUUUCAAAAUAACAAAAUAGUUCAAAAAAUAUCAGCAGUAUAUGUAAAAAUAUAUGCAUGAUGGGAUAUAUGCGAUGCAUUUGGAAUGCAUUUGUUGUGUUUACGAGUUUAGAUGAUGCGAUUGCUUUACGUUUUCGUCGUACUUGAACGGUCGUCAGUACUGGCACUGAACGACAUGCCCAUAGAAUAUGAAUAACUACAAGGCUAGUCACUUAUCUGAUAUACUCUCCGACAUCGAGUCCAAUAUUUCUGCUCAAAAUCGUUGCAGAGUAAUAAAUUUCACAUCGCCUAAUAGUAUGAACGUGCCUCUUUCGAAAGAACAUGGUUUGUUCACCAUUAUUUUUUGCGCAAUUCUCGUGACACGUUGUACGACGAACUUUGUUUAUCCAAAAUUCAAAAUUUAAUUUUCGAAAGAAGCUAUGAUUUACCCCACGAUCGUUGCCAUGAGAGCGGUUAAGCGACCUGGCUUCGUCGUUCGAAAACACUCCAUCGGGGGGAGGGGGGGGGGGAGGAGCUGGAAUAGAAUGAGGGGGGCUUUCAAAACAACACGAUAAAACACACGUUUUAAAUAGAAAUUAUUACUUUAUCAUGCCGUAUUCGACACUAAACAAGUAUUGAAUCAGUCCUACAUUAAUUAGUCCUGUAUUUUUAGAAGCGUGAGAAACUUAGAAAUAUCUUGUUAUGAACUUUUUGCUUGCAUAUUUUUUAGAACAAAAAUUUACUUAUUAUAACAUUUAGCUUUUGACAAUCAUAUACCAAUCUUUAUGAAUUUUAAAGCAUUGAACUUGGCUGCGUUUAACCGUAUGGUUUUCUAUGUUUUUCAAUUUAUUUUCUCUUUUUUACGUUGGUAAAACGUUGUGACUUUACUUGCGCUGGACGUGAUUUUGUCGACUCCAGGGGACGUUGUCACGACGUAGUCAGACAACGUAAAAACAAUAUUCUCACGACUUUUUUAGAACGUUCCACUUAUACGUGAAAAAAACGUUGUGACUUUACGUGCGCUGGACGUGAUUUUGUCGACUCCAGUGGACGUUGGCACAACGUAGUAAAACAACGUAAGAAAAAACCUUUUCACAAUGUUCAUGAAAAGUGAAUUUAUUCAAGCAAUAUGCGCUCAUACAACUUUUAUAUAACGACAUAUAUUUAUCAGUUGUAGCGAAACAUUCAUACAUAAAAAUACAUGCAGACAAAUACAUAAAUCAUAAUACAAUAUAAUAUUAUUUAAGUAAAGAUAAAAGAUAAAGGAGAAAACAGUACAAGAUAUUUAUGAUGGUAGAAUACAACGAUAUUUGGACAAAGGUAAUAUACUUUAGAGACUAUAGAGGCUAAAGUGAACUUUGGCGCGCAAAAGACUAUAUAUUCUUUUUUCUUAUGAGCUCUCUGCUCAGUCACCUGGAUCUUAUGUAAAAUUACUUAUGUAAAGUAUUUUCAAUUUUAACCAUAUAUAUAAAUGUCGUUUCGCGCGAAGAAAUUCGUUAGUGGAAAACCGGCGUAAAAGAACGUUAUACUUUUGUGCAAUAGACACGAGUCACUCUUUAUUUUGGCCAUCUUCACCUGCAGACGCAUUGAGUAUAUUCAUUUUACGAGUCAGGCUCGAUCCCAAGUCAAGCUCGAGUCACGAGUCCAAUUCGAGUGAAGCUAAAACUGUAUACAAUCGUCUAUACACACUUCCCAGAAAAAGCUUUCGCACACCCUCGACACACCUCCGAAUCAACUGUUAUUCGUCCUGUUUACCUCAAGAAUGAAGGUUACCAGCCUGUAUGCA